CUUAAAACUUUUUUAAGAGUGACGGGCGAUAUGUGCAUUUUUAUUUUCUUUUUAAAUUUUUAUUUUUUUUAUUAAAAUUUAAUUCUAAGUCCUUUUUUCAAUUAUUUUUUAUUAAUUUUUUAUUAUUUCUAAUAGAGCCACACAUUAUUCUUUUAUGUUUCUUCUGUCUUGAUUUGUAUUGUUAUUUUAUUGUUUUGAUUUUUAAAAAAUUAAUUUUAAUUUUACUAUUUUUUUAUACAAUGAUAUAGAGAAUUAAAAUAAAAGUUUAUUUUAUUGUGGGUUAUCUAUUAUGGUGCAUGGCCCCCUAGUUAGUAAAAAAACCGCCAUUUAAUUUAAAUUUCGAUUAAUUAUUUACUAUUUUAUUUAUUUUAUAAAG
rnacentral:rRNA from 1 species